rnacentral:rRNA from 1 species
CCUACGGGUGGCUGCAGUGGGGGAUCUUGCACAAUGGGGGGAACCCUGAUGCAGCGACGCCGCGUGGGUGAAGGAGCGUUUCGGCGCGUAAAGCUCUAUUGGUAGGGAAGAACAUGCCGGUAAGUGACUAUGCAGCUCUGGAUAACUCCGUGUCAGAAGCCGAGGUAAUACGUAGGGGGCAAGCGUUCUCCGGAUGUACUGGGCGGAACGGGGGCGCAGACGGCAAUGCAAGCCAGGGGUGAAAGCCCGGGGCCCAACCGGGGGUCGUCACUUGAAACUGGAUGACUUGAGUUCAGUAGGGGCAGGCGGAAUUCCAAGUGUAGCGGUGAAAUGCGUAGAGAUUAGGAGGAACACCAGUGGCGAAGGCGACUUGCUGGACUGUAACUGACGUUGAGGCCCGAAGGCGUGGGGAGCAAACAGGAUUAGAUACCCCAGUAGUC